GUAAGAUUUAUGAUGAACACUGUAGCGUCAUAAGCAUGUUAUAUUGAAAUUGAAUCAUGUAUUCACAAACAAGUUCUCCUUUCCCUCUGAGAUUAUGUAACAGAGUUCCCCUGUUUGUUCAUGGAACAGCCCAGGGUCCAGUGGGGUGUUUGUUUAGGGCUAAUUUGCAUAAACUUGGCUUGUAGAGCAUCUCAUGGGAUGCAUGCAACAUCCUACAGUGCAGACCGAAUUACACAGGAAAGGAGUUAGCAACUCAAUUUAGAAUUGUGUGAAAGUUUGGAGGAUCGAUCUUUCAUUGUAAUCAUCUAUUAGAACCGGGAUAUUUAACAGUUGUAAACCACACUAUCAGUACGAUCGACGACACUAUUGCCACGACACUAUCCACUAUCGCGACUAUACUAUCGACAUCACUACCACUACACGUUUCUACAUUUGUUCUGGAUUUAUUGAGACUGUCGUCGAUGUUUAGACUUGAAUAAAGGCACGAGCUAGUUUAUACUGCA